rnacentral:rRNA from 1 species
UACAGAGGGUGCGAGCGUUGUCCGGAAUUACUGGGCGUAAAGGGCGCGUAGGCGGACAGUUUAGUCAGAGGUAAAAGCCCAGGGCUCAACCUUGGAACUGCCUUUGAUACUGACUGUCUUGAGUUCGGGAGAGGUGAGUGGAAUGCCGAGUGUAGAGGUGAAAUUCGUAGAUAUUCGGCGGAACACCAGUGGCGAAGGCGGCUAUCUGGCCCGUAAUUGACGCUGAGGCGCGAAAGCGUGGGGAGCAAACAGG